AGAAAGCACAGUGGCUCAGGACUUCCAGCUGAAGGUCAGGAACAGUUGCCAGUGAAACAAAGGGUCUACAGCAUCACUCUGAUCUCUGUUUUCCUUUUGCCAGCCCCCAUGGGUGUUGCUGCCAGCAGCUCACAAUUGAAUGCCUCUUCAGAGAAUUGUCCUUGGGCCGUUGGAGCUGCCUAGUCCGGCGGGGUCUGGGACUUAUGCCCUGACUCCCUCUGUCAUCCCUCGGGGCACACCGGAGCCAAUGACUGGCCAGUGCAGGACUCAAAAGACUCACUCUCUCAUCUCAACAAUCACCGUGUGAGAUAGACACCUUCAGUGUCCCCAUUUGACAGAUGAGGAAAUUGAGCCUGGAGAGAUUCAGAACUUACUGAGGUCACACAGCCGAUCAGGGGCCGAGCUGGGCUUGAAACCCAGGCAGAACUACUCAAUAUACUGGACUCUUUAUUCUACACUGCAGCCUCUCAGAUGGUGUCCUUAUUGUUUGGGAUGUCUGUCCUCAUUCCCCACUGCUGUUCUGCUUCCUUUGCCCUUCUUAAAUAAACUCAUUGUUGAAAAUA